GCCUGAAAUCAGGUAGGACUACCCGCUGAACUUAA
rnacentral:rRNA from 1 species